rnacentral:lncRNA from 1 species
UUGAGGCACUCGGGGCCUUGGUAGGUCUGCCAGCAAUGGUGUUGAUGAUGUCUGCUAUCGGAUGAUUGUCGAUCGGUUUCGGAGAUAGUGGAUCAGAGGCUAUGGUGGGUACUCCUUAGUUUUGCUAAGGGUGCACAUACCGGUCAAGCUGCCUACAUUGAAUGAGUGCUUCAAAUUUGUUCUUGAGCUGCAUACACUCCUCGGUGGCAUGGCUACAGUCUCGAUAA